rnacentral:lncRNA from 10 species
CCAGGAAGCCCUCACUGACCACUGCAUCCACCCCACCACAGUCUGGGGUCUGGCUCUAUCACCCAGCCUGGAGUACAGUGGUGCAAUCGUGUCUCACUGCAGUCUUGACCUCUAGGGCUCAAGCAGUCCUCCUUUCUCAGCCUACCAAGUAGCUGGAAUUACAGUAAGUACCACCACACUUGGCUAAUUUUUGCAUUUUUAGUAGAGAUGGGGUUUUGCUAUCUUGCUCAGGCGGGUCUCAAACUCCUGGGCUCAAGCAAUCUGCCCCUCUUGGCUUCCCGAAGUGCUGAGAUUACAGAUGUGAGUCACCGCACUCGGCUUUUCUUGGACUUUUACUCUCAGACCUCCCUGCACGGACGCACCCAUGGGUGCGCUCUCCUCGCCUGCACCUCCGAUGAAGCUGCUGCCACCAUCGGUUGGUUCCAUUUCCUUCUUGCACUCAGUGUCUCUGGUUCCAUGAUUAAUAUUGGACUAGGCUUGGUUUCCUGAGAGUCUAAAUGACUCACCUCCAACUCACCUCCAUUUACAACGGCCCUGCUGAGCAAGAAGGUCUGGGGAAGACGGGGACUCCUCGAUAGGGACUCUCAGCCCACGGAGUCAUCCCCACCAGGCUGUGGGCCUUGGCCAAGUCUCUUUCCC